UGGGGAAUCUUCCGCAAUGGACGAAAGUCUGACGGAGCAACGCCGCGUGAGUGAUGAAGGAUUUCGGUCUGUAAAGCUCUGUUUUUUAUGCCGAACGUGCAGUGUGUGAACAAUGCAUUGCAAUGACGGUAGUAAACGAGGAAGCCACGGCUAACUACGUGCCAGCAGCCGCGGUAAUACGUAGGUGGCGAGCUUUGUCCGGAAUUAUUGGGCGUAAAGAGCAUGUAGGCGGCUUAAUAUGUCGAGGGUGAAAAUGCGGGGCUCAACCCCGUAUGGCGCUAGAAACUGUUAGGCUUGAGUGAAGGAGAGGAAAGGGGAAUUCCCAGUGUAGCGGUGAAAUGCGUAGAUAUUGGGAGGAACACCAGUGGCGAAGGCGCCUUUCUGGACUGUGACUGACGCUGAGAUGCGAAAGCGAGGGUAGCGAACGGG
rnacentral:rRNA from 1 species